UACGUAGGGCGCAAGCGUUAUCCGGAAUUACUGGGCGUAAAGAGCUCGUAGGUGGUUUGUCGCGUUGUCCGUGAAAACUCACAGCUUAACUGUGGGCGUGCGGGCGAUACGGGCAGACUGGAGUACUGCAGGGGAGACUGGAAUUCCUGGUGUAGCGGUGGAAUGCGCAGAUAUCGGGAAGAACACCCGUGGCUAAGGCGGCUCUCUAGUACGGUACUGACGCUGAGACGCGAAAGCGUGGGGAGCGAACAGG
rnacentral:rRNA from 1 species